rnacentral:rRNA from 1 species
UACGUAGGGGGCAAGCGUUGUCCGGAUUUAUUGGGCGUAAAGAGCGUGUAGGCGGCUUUACAGGUCCGUUGUGAAAACUUGAGGCUCAACCUCGAGACGCCGGUGGAAACCGUAAAGCUAGAGUCCGGAAGAGGAGAGUGGAAUUCCUGGUGUAGCGGUGAAAUGCGCAGAUAUCAGGAGGAACACCCGUGGCGAAAGCGGCUCUCUGGGCCGGUACUGACGCUGAGGAGCGAAAGCGUGGGGAGCGAACAGG